rnacentral:rRNA from 1 species
ACUCAAAUGAAUUGACGGGGGCCCGCACAAGCGGAGGAGCAUGUGGUUUAAUUCGAUGGUACGCGAGGAACCUUACCAGGGCUUGAAAGUUAGCGACCGUCCCGGAAACGGGACUUCCCGCAAGGGCGCGAAACUAGGUGCUGCAUGGCCGUCGUCAGCUCGUGCCGUGAGGUGUUGGGUUAAGUCCCGCAACGAGCGCAACCCCUACUUCUAGUUGCUACCAUUAAGUUGAGGACUCUAGAGGAACUGCCCGCGCAAGCGGUGAGGAAGGUGGGGAUGACGUCAGGUCAUCACGGCCCUUACGUCCUGGGCUACACACGUGCUACAAUGGUCACUACAAAGGGCAGCUACACAGUAAUGUGAUGCAAAUCUCUAAAAGUGAUCUCAGUUCGGAUUGAGGUCUGCAACUCGACCUCAUGAAGCUGGAUUCGCUAGUAAUCGCGCAUCAGCAAUGGCGCGGUGAAUACGUUCCCGGGCCUUGUACACACCGCCCGU